GCGAAAAGCAAAGCCAGAAAGACGUCCGCUUACAAACACGGUCAAGGUUUGAAGACGAUCUGACCUUCUGCCUUUGCCAACCACUACCUGCUGUGCAAAGGUACACAUAGGAGGGUGAGACCUGGCAUGAACCAACUGCUGUCACUGGUGAGAGAUCUCCCAGGACCCCAUCCUGAGUGGGAACUGGAGCAAGAGUUCCAAGCUCCACGUGCCCACCUGUGAGGGCAACGCAGAGACCUUCCUGAGAUGGCCCAAGCCAGGCUGCAGGGAAGAACUAAGUGACAUCUGGAUAUGCUGAAGAAGCCCAAACCCUGUGUCCCAGUGCCUUCACCUACUGAAAAGUGCACCGAGUCAUGGGAAGCAAAGCAG
rnacentral:lncRNA from 1 species